rnacentral:rRNA from 1 species
UACGUAGGGUGCGAGCGUUAAUCGGAAUUACUGGGCGUAAAGGGUGCGCAGGCGGUUCCGCAAGUCAGGCGUGAAAGCCCCGGGCUCAACCUGGGAAUGGCAGUGGAAACUGGCUCGCUGGAGUAUGGCAGAGGGGGGUGGAAUUCCGCGUGUAGCAGUGAAAUGCGUAGAGAUGCGGAGGAACACCGAUGGCGAAGGCAGCCCCCUGGGCCAAUACUGACGCUCAGGCACGAAAGCGUGGGGAGCAAACAGG